rnacentral:rRNA from 1 species
AACGAACGCUGGCGGCAGGCCUAACACAUGCAAGUCGAGCGAGGACUUCGGUUCUAGCGGCGGACGGGGGAGUAACGCGUGGGAAUGUGCCCUUCUCUACGGAAUAGCCCUGGGAAACUGGGAGUAAUACCGUAUACGCCCUUUUGGGGAAAGAUUUAUCGGAGAAGGAUCAGCCCGCGUUGGAUUAGGUAGUUGGUGGGGUAAUGGCCUACCAAGCCGACGAUCCAUAGCUGGUUUGAGAGGAUGAUCAGCCACACUGGGACUGAGACACGGCCCAGACUCCUACGGGAGGCAGCAGUGGGGAAUCUUAGACAAUGGGGGCAACCCUGAUCUAGCCAUGCCGCGUGAGUGAUGAAGGCCUUAGGGUUGUAAAGCUCUUUCAGCUGGGAAGAUAAUGACGGUACCAGCAGAAGAAGCCCCGGCUAACUCCGUG